AGUUAAAAAUGUAGUGUAUUGUUAUAUAUGAUUUUCGCCAAAGUAAAACAGCCUUGUUUAAUAGUUGUGAAUGGGAGCCACCCUUGGCCAUAUGGUGUACUGCAGAUCUGCUGCGUGUAGUCUUGUGUUGCUUCCCUACCCGAUCAGAGUAGCCGUAUGCUUUUGAUCUGGUAGGUUCACUGUACAAAGCACUCCACCCAGUAUAUCAGUUUUCUAUUGAUGUUUAAGUUGAUAACUUCGAUGUUUCCCAGGUGUUAUACUAUUUUACAUGCACUAUGCUGUACGUGGUACACCGAAGCCUGAAGGCAAUGUUUUGAUUUAUUUUCUUAAAGGUAUGUGGCUCCGUAAUGUAAAUAGGUUCUAGUGAAGUGCUGUAACUUUAUGCAGUUUAGUUAUGCCCAUUCUAUAUGGGAAGUUAAAUGUCAUGAUUCAGAUAAAAUUAUGCAUUUUCUAUUAUUGAGAGAGUAAUUAGCGGAGUAGCCGUAUGCUUUUGAUCUGAUGCUGUACGUGGUACACCGAAGCCUGAAGGCAAUGUUUUGAUUUAUUUUCUUAAAGGAAAAUAAAAAGGAAGAAAAAUUCAA